rnacentral:rRNA from 1 species
UACGUAGGCAGCGAGCGUUGUUCGGAAUUACUGGGCGUAAAGAGUGUGUAGGCGGUGUUCCAAGUCUGGUGUGAAAUCUCCCGGCUCAACUGGGAGGGUGCGCCGAAUACUGAAAGACUAGAGUGCGGGAGAGGAAAGUGGAAUUCCUGGUGUAGCGGUGAAAUGCGUAGAUAUCAGGAGGAACACCUGUGGCGAAAGCGGCUCACUGGACCAUUACUGACGCUGAUGCACGAAAGCUAGGGGAGCAAACAGG